AAAGUCGUAACAAGGUUUCCGUAGGUGAACCUGCGGAAGGAUCAUUAUCAUAACAUCCACGUUAAACCAUUGUGAACUGUCGCUUCUGUGAUUGUGCAGCUUGAUCUCGAUCGGGUUGUCUUUCGCCUAAGCAUUGUUAUCAUACACCAAUUGAACCCAUCAUUAUACCUUUGUACUAACCAUUUCAUACUCUUGGCUAAUAACCUGGAGAUGAGAUAAAUACGAAACAUAAGAACAACUCUUAGCAACGGAUAUCUUGGCUCUC
rnacentral:misc_RNA from 1 species